UACAGAGGUGCCAAGCGUUAGGCGGAAUCACUGGGCUUAAAGCGCGUGUAGGUGGAUGGGUAAGUAUCUUGUGAAGUCCCACGGCUCAACCGUGGAACUGCUGGAUAUACUGCCUGUCUUGAGGCACUCAGGGGCAGCUGGAACAAAUGGUGGAGCGGUGAAAUGCGUAGAUAUCAUUUGGAACGCCAAAGGCGAAAGCAGGCUGCUGGGAGUGAUCUGACACUGAGACGCGAAAGCCAGGGGAGCAAACGGG
rnacentral:rRNA from 1 species